UCCAAAGAGCACUUGCUGGUGGGUUGUCUAAUUGAGCUGUGGAGUGGCUGAGGCGAUGCAGUGAUGAUGUUCAGGCUAGUUGUAAGCUCAUACAGUGCUUUAAAAUGUAUGGCUGGUCCUACCUGUCACAGUGCCUCUGUUAACCCUUCUUCACAUAAUUGAUAAGUUAAAUACAAGUCUAACUCCUUGGAGUUGGCACUUAUAUGUGGUGCUUUCAGAGGUAAAAAACAAACGCAUACAUAUUUACACACAGUAGGCCUACAUAUGAGACCACCGUGCUGAAGUGUGUGUGUGUGUGGGGAGGGGGGCAGUAUACAUAAUUCUCAAAUACUUAAAGUCCAUCUAAUCGCACAAUCUGUGCAAAAUAUGAAAGUGUUGUUUAAUCACAACAGUGAAUUAGGGUUGUCAUUGAAGCAUAUGGCCGAACCACCCCGAUACUGACCUGUUAAAGGGAGUGGUGGGAAUUGUUGGGUUUCGGGUAAUAAUGUUCUAGACCUGCUCUAUAUGAAAAGUGCAAUGAGAUUACUUUUGUUAUGAAUUGAGGCUAAAGAUUAGAUUAGAUUGAGUACUUGUUACAUCCAGAAGUUGGCAGUGGCGCAACGGCAGCUGACGUUAAACCGAAAGAAGGAGAAGAAGAUUUCAGCAGCACAUGUGCGAUGUCACUUGACUGCUUCUUCUGAGUUAAUUUUGGCGGACAAGUUGCUGGUGGUCUUCGUUUUUGGAAGUUGUAAGAGGUGGAAUUUCUGAGGAUUUCUACUGUUCCACUGUCUCAAAGUUCGUAGACAAACACACUUCCAAUCUCCUCAGUGUGUUGAAGAAGAAAGGAGGCUAUGCAGGAAGGGAACUUAGCAUACUUUUGGCCCAAAGCAACUGUUGUAAAGAGGAGGGAGAUCAUCCUCAGGGCAAUUGGUUUCUACCUGAUGAAGACCCAAACAUCCUCUUCAAAGAAAACCCGGAUCUGAUGGUACAGCUGUUCCAAGAGAGCUUGGACAACUUAUCUUUACAGCAUCUGUGUUGAGGGAGGUAAUGCCACCACUCCUCCAGCUGAUGUUGGGAUAGUCACCGAGGGUACUGAAGUUUUGCAUGACUUGGGAGACAUCGCCUCUACACGUGCACUCUUAAUAGGUGUAAUUAUGCACUGAACCUCAGUUAUCCUCAGAACCUUAAAGCCUUCUUUUAGGUACUUAACAAGUGAUUCUUUCAACUAGAUGCUAGCAAACUCUCAACCAAGGUACAGAUGCUCAAGAAUAAACUCUAUGAAUGAGCCAUUGAUUUGGAGUGUUCUGUGGAAUAGGCAGAAUUCUAGGCAAUGCAUCAUCAAAAUUGUUGACAACUAAACAUUAUUUUGCAAACUUUUCAACACUUUAUAGUGCUAAUAAUUUUGCUGUAUUCUUUUUUUCACCAAUUGCACCAAAAUGAUAGUGAUGUGUUGGUGAAUAAUGUCCAUAACAAAAUUAAGUUGAAAUUAAUUUGUGUGGGACCAGUUGACAAACAUUUGAAUUGUGUCAAUAUAAUUUGGAAAAAAAAUAUUGAAUGAAAACCUAAUGUUUUAAUUAAUUGAACAUAAAUGUAU